rnacentral:lncRNA from 1 species
AACCACCAAGAUCCAAACCUAAGUCCUUCCUUGCAACUCUACUUUCAGUUACAAUAGCUGACAUCAAAACAAGCAGUGCAAGUAAACAACAUGACCAAGGUGCAGCCAUUAAUUCCUUGUUAUUAAUUAUAAUGUAGCAGCUUGAUUGGAAGUAGCAAAUUAAGUAUAUAGUAUAGUAUAGAAAUAUUGAAGAAACUUUAGAGGGUAGUUCAGUUGAUGUUGGCUAGUCUGAAGAUGCAAUGAAGGGUUUUGGAGUAUUUAUAGCUGCUGAAUGAUCUGAAACUUGUGGAAUAUGAUGUUGGUGUGAACACGAGGAAAAUAUUAUUUUAACUUUGAGGCUAGAAAGUGGGGGGGAGAUAUAUAUUGGAUUUAGAUGGAGAAAAACUUGUGGCUGAAUUGCAUAAUUCAUGACAUGUGCCAAUACAAUGUCGACUCAUAUGAUGGCCACUCAACUAAGUGGAGGAUGAAAAUGCUGUUUAUUGUUGAAUAUGUAUCAUAUGUUAUGGUUUUUUGUUCAUUUUUAACUUUUAAAUUAUAUUGUGGACAGCUCAUAUGGUUAUAGGUGAGGUAUGGAUUUUGUUGAUGCACACGAAAGUUUACUUUUUGAUUGCCAUGCCAGUGGUGGUGGUGCCACUCUGCUUAAUUUUUGUAUAUAUUUAAGUUAGUGAUAUCAUUUACUUUUUGUUGCAUGCUCACCAAUUUACAUUUUCAUUACUAUAACAGGUGCUUAUUCAUUAUAGAAACUUCAAGGAUGCUUUUAUUUAACUCUCUCGGCGACUUACUCAAAGAGGAUUAUUGUCCAUUAUCUUUUUUCAACUAUUGUAUUGGAUCAGUC